rnacentral:rRNA from 1 species
UACAGAGGGUGGCGAGCGUUGUUCGGAAUUACUGGGCGUAAAGAGCGUGUAGGCGGCCAGACGAGGUCCGUUGUAGAAAAACUCGGAGGUCCUCAACCUCGAGAUGUCGAUGGAAAACCGUCUGGCUAGAGUCCGGAAGAGGAGUGUGGAAUUCCUCGGUGUAGCGGUGAAAUGCGCAGAUAUCAGGAAGAACACCUAUGGCGAAGGCAGCACUCUGGGCCGAACUGACGCUGAGGAGCGAAAGCGUGGGGAGCAAACAGG